UUGACCUUCAAAAUAUUUAUUAUAUGCUACCAAGUGACAGUUUUCUUCUGCCCCAAAGGUGACUGGAUUCAUCUCUGUGGUGGCUGAAAUCACCCUUGGGCAACAUUUGUGUUCAUAAAAUGCUCAUGGGCACUUAGAUGAAGGUGAGGAACACAAAUUUGUUGAACCCGCGCCCUGCCAGACGCCAGAACGAAGGAUACUCGUGUGCUGGGAAGCGGCUUCCAGGCGGAAUACCAGUAGAUGGCGCUUGGGAAUGUGCAAUCUGCACGCUCCAGGGAAAGAGAGAUCCCCUGAUGGCUCUUGGAAGACUGGCGAUGUUUGUCUUUGGAGUUCAGAAGGAGGAAGAUUGACCUGGAUAACAGGACCUCCCCUGAAGCUUCCCAUCCUCACAGUGGUGUUUCCUCCUUUUCUGGUCAAGGCAUCCCCACCAGCUUCUGCAGGAAAGCUCUGCAAAGGAAAGGCAGCAUGAGCAGAAGAUGGUCUUCAGAGAGUGGCAACAGCACAAGAGCAUUAAAUUAGGACUAUUGAUGGUGGUGGGAAUCAAUGCUGAAGCAGCUGUACCUCCUCCCUGUGCUUUGAAGGGAUUACGGCUACCCUGCAACAAGACACAUGGGGUGACACUGUGGUGACUGCCAGGGAAGUGCCUGCUACAGGAAGUGUUUUCUACUUCUCUGUGUUGCCUGCUUUAAGGGAAAGGUAGUAAAAGUCUGCUGCCUUUGAUGACCUAGUCCCCACACUUUCUCCAAAGCUCUGCCACCAGUGCCGUAGUGCUGAAAGGCUUUCAAGUUAGCUUGGAUUUUUUUCAUGCUGUUUCUGCACUGCAGAGGUCUAGUAAGUUAAAUGUCCUAUAGCCAGCCACUCCAUCAGACAACAAAGGCUAGGCAUUUAUUGUGGCUGAACAAAUAGCAGGAAAGGAGAAAAAUGUCAGGUGUGGGGGGGUAUAUGUGGAAUUUAUGUAAUUUUUCAUAUAUAUGACUUACCAUUUUCCUAGCAACUUUACCACAAGGGACCUCAGAGCCAUAGAUGGAGGCACACAGCUUUGUUUUAAUGUGAGAGAGAAAUUCCACUAGCACUUUGCCAGAGUAAUGGGCAAAAUUAUUCAGCUUUGUCCCCUGAAAAAGCUGGCAUUGCAAAGGGCCUUUUUAUCCCAAAUGAGCAGCUGAAUAAUAUUUUUGACAACUUAUUGUGAAGAAAAUACAGAGUGUUUUUGAGAAGGGGUUUGUUCUCCUUUCACAUAGCUGCAAACAAUUUCACCUUUUCUCCAUUGACGCAUAAUAUACAUCUGAGCACCCCUUUCUUGCCUUAUUAAUAUGGCAUAUUUCAUAUCGUGCUGAAGAUUUUGCAUAACUUACUCAUGGAAAUGUUGACAAAAUCUUUACAUUUCUGCAAAUUUUAUAUAUGCAAAUAAAUCACUGCUUUGCCAUUAAAA